UACGUAGGGGGCAAGCGUUGUCCGGAAUCAAUUGGGCGGUAAAGCGCGUGUAGGCGGCUCGGUAAGUCCGCUCUGAAAGUCCAGGGCUCAACCCUGGGAUGCGGGUGGAUACUGCCGGGCUCGAGUCCGGAAGAGGCGAGUGGAAUUCCCGGUGUAGCGGUGAAAUGCGCAGAUAUCGGGAGGAACACCAAUGGCGAAGGCAGCUCGCUGGGACGUGACU
rnacentral:rRNA from 1 species